GGUUAAGCGACUAAGCGUACACGGUGGAUGCCCUGGCAGUCAGAGGCGAUGAAGGACGUGCUAAUCUGCGAAAAGCGUCGGUAAGGUGAUAUGAACCGUUAUAGCCGGCGAUGUCCGAAUGGGGAAACCCAGUGCAAUUCGUUGCACUAUCGUUAACUGAAUACAUAGGUUAACGAGGCGAACCGGGGGAACUGAAACAUCUAAGUACCCCGAGGAAAAGAAAUCAACCGAGAUUCCCCCAGUAGCGGCGAGCGAACGGGGAGCAGCCCGGAGUCUGAAUCAGCUUGUGUGUUAGUGGAAGCGUCUGGAAAGUCGCAGGGUACAGGGUGAUACUCCCGUACACUAAAACACACAGGUUGUGAACUCGAAGAGUAGGGCGGGACACGUGGUAUCCUGUCUGAAUAUGGGGGGACCAUCCUCCAAGGCUAAAUACUCCUGACUGACCGAUAGUGAACCAGUACCGUGAGGGAAAGGCGAAAAGAACCCCGGCGAGGGGAGUGAAAAAGAACCUGAAACCGUGUACGUACAAGCAGUAGGAGCCCACUAGUUGGGUGACUGCGUACCUUUUGUAUAAUGGGUCAGCGACUUAUAUUCUGUAGCAAGGUUAACCGUAUAGGGGAGCCGCAGGGAAACCGAGUCUUAACUGGGCGUUAAGUUGCAGGGUAUAGACCCGAAACCCGGUGAUCUAGCCAUGGGCAGGUUGAAGGUUGGGUAACACUAACUGGAGGACCGAACCGACUAAUGUUGAAAAAUUAGCGGAUGACUUGUGGCUGGGGGUGAAAGGCCAAUCAAACCGGGAGAUAGCUGGUUCUCCCCGAAAGCUAUUUAGGUAGCGCCUCGUGAACUCAUCUUCGGGGGUAGAGCACUGUUUCGGCUAGGGGGUCAUCCCGACUUACCAACCCGAUGCAAACUACGAAUACCGAAGAAUGUUAUCACGGGAGACACACGGCGGGUGCUAACGUCCGUCGUGAAGAGGGAAACAACCCAGACCGCCAGCUAAGGUCCCAAAGUCAUGGUUAAGUGGGAAACGAUGUGGGAAGGCCCAGACAGCCAGGAUGUUGGCUUAGAAGCAGCCAUCAUUUAAAGAAAGCGUAAUAGCUCACUGGUCGAGUCGGCCUGCGCGGAAGAUGUAACGGGGCUAAACCAUGCACCGAAGCUGCGGCAGCGACACUAUGUGUUGUUGGGUAGGGGAGCGUUCUGUAAGCCGUUGAAGGUGGCCUGUGAGGGUUGCUGGAGGUAUCAGAAGUGCGAAUGCUGACAUAAGUAACGAUAAUGCGGGUGAAAAACCCGCACGCCGGAAGACCAAGGGUUCCUGUCCAACGUUAAUCGGGGCAGGGUGAGUCGACCCCUAAGGCGAGGCCGAAAGGCGUAGUCGAUGGGAAACAGGUUAAUAUUCCUGUACUCGGUGUUACUGCGAAGGGGGGACGGAGAAGGCUAUGUUGGCCGGGCGACGGUUGUCCCGGUUUAAGCAUGUAGGCGGAUGUUCCAGGUAAAUCCGGAACGUUAUUAACGCUGAGGUGUGAUGACGAGGCACUACGGUGCUGAAGUGACAAAUGCCCUGCUUCCAGGAAAAGCCUCUAAGCAUCAGGUAACAUCAAAUCGUACCCCAAACCGACACAGGUGGUCAGGUAGAGAAUACCAAGGCGCUUGAGAGAACUCGGGUGAAGGAACUAGGCAAAAUGGUGCCGUAACUUCGGGAGAAGGCACGCUGAUGGUAGGUGAAGUGACUUGCUCAUGGAGCUGAAAUCAGUCGAAGAUACCAGCUGGCUGCAACUGUUUAUUAAAAACACAGCACUGUGCAAACACGAAAGUGGACGUAUACGGUGUGACGCCUGCCCGGUGCCGGAAGGUUAAUUGAUGGGGUUAUCCGUAAGGAGAAGCUCUUGAUCGAAGCCCCGGUAAACGGCGGCCGUAACUAUAACGGUCCUAAGGUAGCGAAAUUCCUUGUCGGGUAAGUUCCGACCUGCACGAAUGGCGUAAUGAUGGCCAGGCUGUCUCCACCCGAGACUCAGUGAAAUUGAACUCGCUGUGAAGAUGCAGUGUACCCGCGGCAAGACGGAAAGACCCCGUGAACCUUUACUAUAGCUUGACACUGAACACUGGUCCUUGAUGUGUAGGAUAGGUGGGAGGCUUUGAAGUGUGGACGCCAGUCUGCAUGGAGCCAUCCUUGAAAUACCACCCUUUAAUGGCUGGUGUUCUAACGUGGGCCCCUAAUCGGGGUUGCGGACAGUGUCUGGUGGGUAGUUUGACUGGGGCGGUCUCCUCCUAAAGAGUAACGGAGGAGCACGAAGGUCAGCUAAUCCUGGUCGGACAUCAGGAGGUUAGUGCAAUGGCAUAAGCUGGCUUGACUGCGAGCGUGACGGCGCGAGCAGGUGCGAAAGCAGGUCAUAGUGAUCCGGUGGUUCUGAAUGGAAGGGCCAUCGCUCAACGGAUAAAAGGUACUCCGGGGAUAACAGGCUGAUACCGCCCAAGAGUUCAUAUCGACGGCGGUGUUUGGCACCUCGAUGUCGGCUCAUCACAUCCUGGGGCUGAAGUAGGUCCCAAGGGUAUGGCUGUUCGCCAUUUAAAGUGGUACGCGAGCUGGGUUUAGAACGUCGUGAGACAGUUCGGUCCCUAUCUGCCGUGGGCGCUGGAGAAUUGAGGGGGGCUGCUCCUAGUACGAGAGGACCGGAGUGGACGCAUCACUGGUGUUCGGGUUGUCAUGCCAAUGGCAUUGCCCGGUAGCUAAAUGCGGAAGAGAUAAGUGCUGAAAGCAUCUAAGCACGAAACUUGCCCCGAGAUGAGUUCUCCCUGACCCUUUAAGGGUCCUGAAGGAACGUUGAAGACGACGACGUUGAUAGGCCGGGUGUGUAAGCGCAGCGAUGCGUUGAGCUAACCGGUACUAAUGAACCGUGAGGCUUAACCUU
rnacentral:rRNA from 1 species